rnacentral:lncRNA from 1 species
GGUGGCAAUGAGUGGUAUGAGGUCAUAGAUUUAAGAGCAAGACCUAAAGAGACCAUGAGACAGUCAACAACACAAAAGCAUGAGAUGCUCUGCAGCAACAGUUCUCCAGGGCUGAGAUCAAGUCGUGAGUAUAUCAUCUUGCUGUCUCCUCUCUAAUCCAACGCCCGUCAUUCGCACUGACAGAAGUGAACCUUCAGAAUCCAAGAGUCAUUCGCCAGAAAUGUUACAAGAGCAAAGUGUGCGUUUUAUUAUCCCCCAGAAGGUGCAUGCGGGUGCUGGGGAUAAAACCACGCAGCAGAGCCCCUGCUUGGUGUGCACAAGUCCCCGGGCUCAGGCUCCAGGGAAGAAAUGGGGUGUGGGGACAGAAUUUUCUGUUUCUCUGUCUAACAGUAAUUCUGCCUGUCUGCCCCAAGUGAAUGAAGGUAGGAGUCUCUCACUCUGAAAACAAACAAGAACCUUUCCAGAGAGUUUGAUCAUCUUUUAAGAUUCGGUCCACACCAUCAUCCGCCCAUUUUCAGGAGAAGAAAAGUAAAUAAAGGAGGGAUACUUCAGUAAGUGCCUCGCUCAGCUCUGAGGGAGACUGGCGCUCUGCUCAUUUUCCUCUGCUCAGGUUCCGCCCCACCCACUGAUGAGCUGGGAAGCCUCCUGUCUCAGUUAGGUUCUCCUGGAAGCCAUGAACACGCUGGUGUCUUUGCACGUUCUUUCUCUCCUCCCUGACUCCGUCUAAGCAGAUUGAAAACUUAGUUUCUGAGGUGAGUGUGAGGGAUUGCACUGGAUGGAGCGCCGGGCAGCCAGCUGCUCCCUGGGGAGCAGCAACAGCAACUCCACCUUCUAUGUACAUAGUGACAUGACUCCAUCUCAAGUUCUCAUCUGUGAGCUAUCCCAGACUCUGUUUUUAAGUAGGGUGUGUAUAUGUGUGUGUGUGUGUGUGGGGUACAUAUAUACAUGUAUACACACCCACAUAUGCAUGUAUGUAUAUAUACACACAUAUAUGUAUGUAUAUGUGCAUAUAUGU